UUUGCCUUGCUAAUCUUUCAUGGUUUCCUAGGCAAUGAAAAGGGAACGAACGUACAAUAGACCACAGAUUUUCAUUUAGUUUGUAUUCAGCAGUAAUGAAAGUGUCUAUAUUGGCAAAGAAAGAAAUAAUGUAGACUCAGAAAAUAAAUAAGAUACAUAAAGAAGUCAGCCAAUAGUGGUAGCCAGAACACAUAAUUUUCAAUCCCACAUUACAAUGAAAUAAAAACAAACAACCACAAAACACAAAGCAAGCCUUCCCCAAGCAGAAUUCUUUCCAAUUUUACAGGGGAAAAAAUAGUUUCAAAUUACUUCAGAAGGACAUUUUGGCUUCUGUUGUCUCCCUUUCCUUGAUGCCAGAUGCAUCAACUAUUUUUGACACCAAUAUUUUCUCAGAUAAACUACUGGUUUCUUAACUGUCAUUCUCACUGGAAAUUCUAUACUGUUUUCAUCUUUGCUUUACUUUCUUGCAUAACUUCCAGGCAUUGAGAUGCUGACUGCAUUUGAAGGGUCAUUUUAAAGCAUUAGAUUUACAGAAUGUAAUCAGAUCUAGGCCCUUCAGGUCCAUGGAGAAAACAAAAAGAUAGAUUACUGAAAGUGAGAUCUCCAGAAGUCAUUCAGAGGUGCACUGCUGAUGUUGCUGGGCCUUCUGCUGAACAGCUUAGCCAUUUCCAACAUAGCUUGAUAGCCAAGGCUUUAGAAAAGGAGAAAUAGAAGUAAUCUCAAUGGUUUGAUCCUCAUGGUGUGUUUUAUGAAAGAGUUUGUACUAAAUUGCUGCUACAUUUGCUCUAAGUAAUGAGCUUCCAGGUAGACUUUUGAUUCUUACUCUUCUAAGAUCUACAUGUUGUGAUGGACAAAUAUUGGCUACUCAAUGACCUCGAAGGUUCCUUCCAACUUAGGUUAUUCUAGGAAAUGCUCUGGGUGCCAAACCCUACUCCUGAAAACCCACUAGUCAGACUACCUAAGAGGUGACAUCUUGCAAAAUACAGCUUCUGCUCUUACCUGCUGAGGAACUGACUCUUUCACAGGUUAACCACCCCUGCAGACUCUGCAGAUACACACAGGUCUUGGCAAUGCACCAUAGUCUUCCCAUUAUUAUUACACAUGAAAUGAAAAUUUCAUGUAACUACAUUAUAAAAUCGGGGUUGGAAUUGGUUGAAGGUUUGCUUUGUUUUGCAAAAGUACCAUCAUUUAGUUUUCUAAAGUACUGUCAAUAUUUGUUCUUGGUAGGUUGUUUUAUGCCUGAGGCCAUUAUUUAGUCUUUAACAACAGUGUUCGGGGAAUACAGCAGCCAGCAAAUGGAUGGGCUUUCUUUUUUUAGAUGUGAUGUAUCAUCUCUGAUUUUGCAAAAUAUAAGAAGUGAGACUGUGUCACAGUCGGCAUUUCUUGGUGCAUUUGAGAAAUGCCUGAUACCGGAGUGUAAACUGCUGUAAGCUGACAGAAGCGAAGGAUUUUUCAUGUUUAUUUCCAAAAUUAUUGCUCUAGGCUGACACUUGAAAAAAAACAAAUUGCCAACUGUGUAGAACGGCUGUUUUGUGUAUAAUACUGUGAAAAGAUCUGAUUUCUCUGGGUCUUCUGGUAAAGUCUAGCGUAUUCACAGCAGGUAAGAUUUAUUGGGCUGUUAAUUAUUUUAAUGUGCCAAACUGUCUGAUCUAUAUGAAGAGUCACAGAUGUCAAGCCUUACAGCUAAGUCUUCUCUUUCAUGUCCUUUGCCCAGUGACACACAGAGAGGAAACAGGUCGCUUCAGGAGAGAAUGCGGUGCAGCCCCAGAUAUUGUACCUGCUUGGAAAAGGAAGCAUUGCAGACUUCUCCAAGAUCUGGAUGAAGUGAUUUAGCUGCAAGCACUAAGGAGUGACCCCUUGGGUUUUUAACUAUGCCAGCUUCCCAGGGAGUGCAGACCUCGACUCUGAGCCUGCUCCUUGCUCAGUGCAGGCCAUGAUCUUCAGCUGAUUUGCUGUCAGUGCUGCAGAGAGGAGGCUACAUCGUGCUGCCAGCUGUGCCUGUUGGUAUGUAACCCCAUUCCCUGAAAAAAUGCGCACACAUCAGGAAAGGAAAUGAGAGGGUAGUGGGGUAAUACUGUCAGGAAUUUUCCUUCUACAGUUAAUUGUAAGCCAGGUAGUCCAUCAGCUUUUACUGAUCCUUGGGAAACUCCAUGUGAGUGCACAGCUGACAGUGCUUAGUGCUGACAAGUCAGGUAGAGGAGCCCCAGCCAUCUGGAUGGGCUGUGGAUGAGAAUCUCCCCAGCCUCAGAGGCUGUUUCCCAUAGCACUGUCUCUGCAGGGCCUUUUCCAAUUGCUGGCAGAGAUUCAGACUGUAUCUGAGUGUGGAGAAGACACUCUUGUACCUGCCAUGCUGAACCAUCCUGCUCUCAGCAGCAAAAAAACAACUCUGGCAAAAGGAAUUUGAAACCAGUGUCUAAAAGAGAUUAGCUCAGAGUAGCUUAACUAGCAGAAUAUAUGCGUUUUUGCUGGUGACGUUUGCUAAAGGAUUGCUCUGUUCUCUGAUGGUUUUUAAAGCAGUAACAGAAAAGCUCAUUCUGCCAAAAAAAAUGCUUCAAUGUUGUAUUGAGCUGGAUAGCUAUUACAAAUUCCUUUGCUGUAUGUUAUGCCUUUAAAUCUCUCGAGAGUCCUCUGGCUUUGAGGUAGACAUCCAUUUUGUAUGCAAGGCACUACAGUCUCUUGCAGAUAUGUAAAACACAGUUUCCUUGAGGAUAUUUUCUCUCGUUUUAGCCUGGCUCCUUGAGGAAAUCCUCACUUUGGGAGUGAGUGGGAAGUUUACAUGCCUACAUCUGUCCUUCCGUGUUCCCUGGGUGCUGCCAUUGUUCUAUUUCAGUUUUUUCAGGCAAGUGAGAAAAGUGGCAGUGGGAGUUCAUGGCUUAUUAAACACCAGAGAAUCUACAGCAGCCAGCAGCACUAUAAACACUUUGUUAUUGAAAAAGCUUUACCGCAGAUAUAUACAUUCCUGAGCUCUAGAAAUUCGCUCAUGACCUGGGAGAGAACAGCUUUCAAACUCUCAGCACAGCAGGAGAUGCACCUGAGGCCAUACAUGGUCCCUUAUUGGAGAGUUAACUGGGGACUAUUAGAUACUGGAGGCACUGUAGGAAAGAAAUGGGCUGGUGGAUUGCUUCAGUCCUCAGCAUUCAGGUAUCACUGUUGACAGGGACUAUGAGAGGCUGGAUAAAGCCAGGCUGCUCAGAACACUGUGAUUGUGGCAGUGCCAGGCUCCAGGGGCCUCUCUGCUGGAAAAUAUUGCAGGGGAUCAAUAUAUAUCAGCAGUGUUAACUCAGGAGAUGGUAGCUACCUACAGAAACCAGCAGAUGCAGAUGACAGCAAUCCUUGGUAGAAUUCAGGCAGAGUUAUUUAAUCAGGCGAUACAAAUCCAUAGGAAUCAAAAUUUAUUAGUUCUAGCACUCAUCAACCUGCCCAUUUCCCCCCGCCAUUUUCUCACACUUGGACUGGAUUUAAGAGGCUGCUUCUCACAAAGGGAAGAACACAGACCUCCUAAUACCAGAUUUACAGUAUAUUCCAAAUUCUUCGAAGCUAGAAUUUUGUUUGGCUUCUACAAAAGUUAUGUGCAGGGCCAUGGCAUAUUUCUUCCCUGCCUCAUUCCCUCACCAGGCAGUAAUUAUUUCAAACAGGUUUCCUCGCUACCCAGCCAUACUGGUCUCCUGCAUCAUUCUGACUAUGGCACUGAAACACAACUGGAAUCCAGUUCCUCAGACCUACAGAAUCACAGCUAAGGAAUUUUCCAGGUGCAUUCUCCAUAUCAUCCCCAGUAUCACCCUUCUCACCUAAGAUGGAGCUAUGACUUUAUAACAGACCUCUCUGAAACGUUUGCUGGUGCUUCAGGAGAUGAGCACCCUGCUGUGCUCCUCUAAAAUAGAUCAGUCAUGGAGAAUUGCAUUGCUUAUUGCAGGAAGACUUGACUCCAAACUACAGAGAGAAUUCCUACUGAAAGUGGGUGCCUCCAUCUGCCCCUCUGUUUGGUUCUUGGGCAUCCACCUGCAUUUCUCUCCCCGCAGCACAGAGCACAGCACCAGCAUCAUCAUCCGUGAGUACAGCACAUCCAGACUCAACAGCUUUGAGUCUUAUUCCUUAGCCUGUUUUCUUAGUGCUGACAGUUUGGUAAAUGUUGUUUAGUGCAUUUCUUAAGUGUAGAAAGUGUAAUAUUCACAGUUGUAUUAUAUUCCAGGAUAGAAAGCUACAGCACAGGAGAUGCUUCUACUGCAUGAAGCCGUGUUUCCUGCUGUUUUCUCACAGCCCUCUACUUCUGUGCUGGCACUUGCGUUUAUACUUGCCCUCACAGUGGAUAAACUUCAGGUACUGAAGAAGAAGCCUGCAGUUCUUGGGAGCUGGUACAGCCCAGCACUGUCAGCAAGCAGUAUGUGAAGCUGCAAGGUCUGCUCCUCCCAGCUUAUCCAGAUCCCUCCAGUAAGUGUCACCACUUUUACUCGGCAUAAAUGAGCCUCAUUCUUUGAGCUGGACUCAGUGUAAAUCAAACCCGUGACAUUAAUGCCAGCAGGUGGCUGUUAGUCCCCUCAUUGGCAUGAAUAGACUUUUGCUUCUUUACAUACAUGCAGAAAUCUUGUAGUAUGUUUUUAACACUGCAGUUUAUUGACAGAUCUCAUCUGUGACAUCAGAUCUGUUCCUCCUUCCUCUCUUCUUCCCUUUCAAACAAUAUGAGAAUGAUCCAUUGCUGUUCUCUUGAAGCAGCCAUAUGGCCAGCAAUAUGUUACUAGAUGUACAUCCUUUUCUUUUUUCCUCUCUCAUCAGUGCUAUUAUAUCAGGAAAUCUAAGCAGUCCCAGUCCUUUGUGCAGUCUGGGAGGGGGUUGGAUCCUCUGCCCAGUCACAUGGCUGCUGCUGUGAAUGUACAAGUGGAAGUAUCAGCUUCAGGCUUGCAGUGCUUGACAUUGCUAGGGUUAAUCUCUGCCCUAACCCCAGAAUUGAUUUAGCUAAUAGGGAUUCUGAAAAUCUCAGUUUUAUUUAUAAAUGGGAUGGUUUAAUUAUUUAUUAUCCCUGUUUCAUUAAAUGUGAAACUAAAACACUUCUGCUUGUGGAAGAACAAACACAAUCCCUUGUGGAAGAUAAUAAACAUAAUAUAACGGAUCUGUUUGCAAACAAAGCAUCCUUUGUCUGGAUAUUCUUUUAUUUGCAUCCUUGUGAUAUAUAAAUCUUUGUCUUUCUGCUCUGAUGGAAAAUGAUUUCAUUCUCUCUGUCUCUCUUUUCCCCUAUUCCUCCUGCACUGUCCAUUAGCACCAUCUAAAUCCCUCACAUUGCAUUAGAGGCUUGUUCUGUUUGUAAUUAGGCAGUGAUGUAGUCAUAUGUAACGCUGCGUUUGAAAGAUGCUCUCAGCUACAUUUGAAAGCUAGAUAUUCUGAACAUGGUGCAUUAGGGUUAAUUACCUAAUAAUUUACAGUAUUAAAUGCAGCUACAGACACUUAAAUUUUCACUAAUUGUGGUACUGAAGAACAUAAGGAUUCACUCAUAUUUGAGCACUUUGGCUGUCAAAAUCCUUCAAGGCAUUUGUAUGUCCUCUCCUUCUCCUUGGCUUCAGUAGCACAUGAGCAGCUGUAGGACAUCACUGAAAGAACUGGGAUGUCAUCAUAUUAAUUUAAAAAUGAUUUUCUUAGUAUAAUUCAGAUUUCAAAGGUACAUCAAUUGACUGUUAUUGAAUUACAGGAUGUCAAAUGUAUUAUGCUAUGGAGGUAAUACUAAUAGGGUUUGAUGAUGUCAGAAAGAUCGUUUUGCAGGUUCCCCGGUGCAAAGAUAAGCAUGAACUGAGAGCCAGAGAAACCCCAACUCUACACCAUCUCAGUCUCCUUCUUGACACUGUACUACAGCAUGCUGGCUGUGAAAAUAUUCAGUGUGUUUUUGGCUAUGACAAAUAACUAUCUCACACCUUGUAACAAGCUUGCACCUCUUUACUUCUAAUAGAAAAGGGGGGUGUGCAAAAGCAUUAAUGGCAUUUAUUAAAUGCAAAGGAUUUUAAGGGUUCACCAACCUUCCAGAUCUCUGAGCUGAGCUUCAAGCAGCACUCUGUCUGACAUCUUAUAUUCAAAGAGAAGCAAAUCAAAAGAAGAACAGCUUUUAAUAUCUAAAGUUACCUAGAAAAAAUAACCUAGAAAGCAUACCGAGGCCUUGAAAAGUGCUAAGAGCUUUGUUUCAACAUAUUAUAAAGCUUUCAUCGUUAAGUACCAAAAGGCACUAAAUCACAAAGACCCAUGGCAGACAAAACUGUUAAACUAAGGGUGAUUUACUGAGAAGAGAGCUCAGCAAACCACGCAGUCACUUCACCUUUAAAAUACUGUUCUUUCAUCCACUGUUGAAUUGUGCAAUCUUCAUAUUUAAAGGGAAAUCAAUAUCAUUGAUUACACACAAUAAAAGCUAUUCCAUAGGACACCGUUACUAAAUCUAGCUGCUGGAAAAAUAUUUCUUUUUGUAAAUCAAACUAAUAAAAAUCAGUUUGCGUUUCUCCUAACUAGGCACAACUACAACACACAAUAUAAUGAGCAGAGAAUUUCAUAUUCUACCAAGGAAACAUACAGCACUGAUUUGAAAAAGCCUCUUACAUCCCUGCUUGUUUCUCAUGCAUGCACCUCUCUAUAGCCAGCAGUUUGCUGGCACCUUGUAUUUAAGUGAAACAUUUGAACAGCUCUCGCUCCUCUCCAGAAGAUGCACACAGCAAUACUUACAGGAGGGGCACAGCCCCAGCACAACCAAACUGCCAGCACAAUGCAGUUCACACAGGCACAGCCCUCAGGCUCUGUCCCCCUGUGUCUUGUCCCACAGUACUUACACCCAGCACAUCUUAUACUGGCAGGCAAUUCAGCAGUGCUGCUGCUGUUGGAACUAGAGGGCUAUUUUUCAGUGUUAGCAGCACCAUUCCACCUGAGCACCGAAUUUCUCUUAUAAUGGUUUUAUCACAGUCUCACUCCCUCUGACUUACAGUUCUAAAUAGUCAAGGGGUCUUUCUUGGAGAGUCUUCACUUUUGCAGUACUGAAAAGAUUAAGAUGCUCAAGAAUUUAUCUGGUAGACCAGUUUGCUGUUCACAAUUCAGAAGGCAUAAACACUGCCUACACUUCUCAAGUUAAUUUAAGUAAGUUGGAUUUGCUCUGCCACCAGUUUAAAUCUUACCCUAAAAUUAAAUCAGUCUUCAUUCAGCUUUAAAAUGUGCUAAAUUGUUCAGAUGUUCUAAAACUCUUCUUCCUUAAGGCUUCCAAGUGAAAUUCUACAUUUAUUUAAUAAAGCAGCCAGGAUUUACUAUAGUGGUAGUGGUAAGCACUUUUUACUUUCCUCAAGAUAGAUUGGAGUUGACUGUAUACUUUUUUUUUUGCUACAGCUGCACAAGUUUACAAGUCACAAUUGAAUUACCAAACUGAGGAAAAUAAAGAUUAUUCCUGUGGGUGCAAUGCAGGUUGCAGACUUGUUUUCUUUUAAAGAAGGGUUUAAAGAAUUAGCAAUAAAUGUUAUCAACUGCAGCUAGAAAAUGAUGCUGACUUAUUACUUCGUGGUGAUCCUAAGGGGCAGUAUGAAAACCAAAUUCCAUAGUUGAGGUUUCCAGAAGAAAAAAAGAAAGAAAAGUAUCCAACAAUGCCUUUUGAACACCCUACAUUUGGAUUUACAGUAUAGGCAAAAAGACUGAGCUUACAGAGCUCACAGGCAACCCUGCCUUGUACCUAAAGCUGCACAGCCCUGCAGCACCCAAAUGGCUACUCAUUCACUUACAGUAUGUUUCUAUUGCCACUGGGAAGGUACAAGGUGAGGAUGUUUCUACUGACAGCCUCUCCUAAUGGCACCUUCAGUGCAGACCUCCAGCAACACACACACCCCAACAGGCGAGGGCAACACUGAGCCCUCCUCACCUGUCUCAUGACAUGGUGGAGUGAGUGCUGUCCCGAUCUGGACAGGCACUGCUACUCCAAAGGCAUUCCCCUUUGUAUCUACCACCCAAUAACCAAGUGCCUUUCAGGAUUCUAUGUCUUAGCCAAGAUUGAUAUUGACAGGUACUAAAACCUCACAGCUUUUUUCACCAAUUAUAUGUGCAUAGAAUUCAAUACAACAUACUUACACAAACUGGUGGUGUGGAUUACAGUCUGCAAGCCAGAAUUUUAAAAUCAGUUUCUCAGUUUCUAACAUUCUCAUUCAAAGUUGUAUGCCCUCAGCAGCCUAAGAGACCUACAGAGAAGUAUCUUCCAUACUCAUGCAGUUAAAUAAUUCCUGUACAAAAUGUACAUGACAGCUGAAUCACGCCUGGUGAGUCACUAUUUAUAAUAGACUAAGCCUGGACUAUCUGACUUAACCUGUAUUGAAUUCAAGACAGCUAAGAUAGAUGGUCUUGGCUCUAUCUUCUCCAGAAACCUUUAUUCUUCUUGCAGGAAUCCAAUUAAGUGGGCAACAAAAAUCAAAAUGCAGGACAGCACAGUAGAAUUCUCUCUUCUACAACGCUACCACCUUAAUAUUCUCAUGUUUUAUGUAAUCAUUCUUCAGGUCUUCUCUUUAUUUGGGUCACAGUUUUGCUUUCAGGAAAUGAACCAGGGUCUAUUUCUUACAAAGAAAUGAGCAGUGCAGUUUCUUUAAACUCAUAAGUCAAGUUAUUUUCUGCCUUUUUAUCUAUCACAGAAUCAUAGAAUGGCCUGGGUUGAAAAAGACUUCAGUGAUCAUCCAGU